GAGUAUAAUAGAUUUGCAAUAAAAGUAAUUCAAGUUCCCUUUAAAUUCGCGUGAUCUUUCUCUCUCUACUCUCACUCCAUCUCUCUCUAGGGUUUCAGUUGGGCGCCGUUUUGAUUCACUCAAUCCCACAGUGUAAUCUGCUGGUUUCAAUCUCAUUCAACGCAUCUGCAAUUUUAGGGUUUCAAUUGGGCGCCGUUUCUGGUAUAUUCGAUCCCUCAGUGUAAUUUGCUGGUUACCAUCUCAUUUGCCGCAUCUACAAUUUUCAGGAAUCACAUUGCAAUGGAAGUCACUCAGGUCCUUCUAAAUGCACAAUCAGUUGAUUCAACAGUGCGAAAACAUGCAGAA